rnacentral:tRNA from 1 species
GUUUUAAAUAAAGUAAAAGCUUUUAGUGGAUACCUAGGCACCCAGAGACGACGAAGGGCGUAGCGGUAAAGGACGAAAUGCUUCGGGGAG